UACGAAGGGGGCUAGCGUUGCUCGGAAUCACUGGGCGUAAAGCGCACGUAGGCGGAUUGUUAAGUCGGGGGUGAAAUCCUGGAGCUCAACUCCAGAACUGCCUUCGAUACUGGCGAUCUUGAGUCCGGGAGAGGUGAGUGGAACUCCGAGUGUAGAGGUGAAAUUCGUAGAAAUUCGGAAGAACACCAGUGGCGAAGGCGGCUCACUGGCCCGGUACUGACGCUGAGGUGCGAAAGCGUGGGGAGCAAACAGG
rnacentral:rRNA from 1 species